AUUGAACGCUGGCGGCAUGCCUUACACAUGCAAGUCGAACGGCAGCACGGGUGCUUGCUCCUGGUGGCGAGUGGCGAACGGGUGAGUAAUACAUCGGAACAUGUCCUGUAGUGGGGGAUAGCCCGGCGAAAGCCGGAUUAAUACCGCAUACGAUCUACGGAUGAAAGCGGGGGACCUUCGGGCCUCGCGCUAUAGGGUUGGCCGAUGGCUGAUUAGCUAGUUGGUGGGGUAAAGGCCUACCAAGGCGACGAUCAGUAGCUGGUCUGAGAGGACGACCAGCGACACUGGGACGUGGACAGGGCCCAGACUCCUACGGGAGGGAGCAGUGGGGAAUGUUGGACAAUGGGCGAAAGCCUGAUCCAGCAAUGCCGCGUGUGUGAAGAAGGCCUUCGGGUUGUAAAGCACUUUUGUCCGGAAAGAAAUGCUUGGCCCUAAUACGGUCGGGGGAUGACGGUACCGGAAGAAUAAGCACCGGCUAACUACGUG
rnacentral:rRNA from 1 species